AUGAUCAUAACCUUGGAAGAGCUAGAGAAGGCAACAAACAAUUUUGAUAAAGCUCGUGAGCUUGGCGGUGGUGGGCAUGGUACUGUGUACAAAGGGAUCUUAUCAGACCUCCACGUCGUAGCCAUCAAGAAACCAAAGAUGGUGGUUCAAAAAGAGAUCGACGAGUUUAUUAAUGAGGUUGCUAUCCUAUCACAGAUUAAUCAUAGGAAUGUAGUAAAACUCUAUGGUUGUUGCCUUGAAACGGAAGUUCCAAUGUUGGUCUAUGAGUUCAUAUCCAAUGGAACACUUUACGAUCAUCUUCACAUCGAAGGACCAAGGUCAUUGUCAUGGGAUGAUAGGCUAAGGAUAGCAAUUGAAACUGCCAAAUCAUUAGCCUAUCUUCACUCCAUGGCUUUAAUACCUAUCAUCCAUAGAGAUAUCAAGUCCUCUAACAUACUUUUGGAUGAUACCCUAAUAGCAAAGGUAGCAGACUUUGGAGCUUCAAGAUACAUUCCAUUGGAUAAAUCAGGUUUAACAACUAUGGUGCAGGGUACACUAGGAUAUCUAGACCCCAUGUACUUCUACACUGGGCGUCUCACAGAGAAAAGUGAUAUUUACAGCUUCGGUGUUAUGCUCAUAGAAUUGAUGACCAGAAAGAAACCAUUUUCCUAUAUGGCUUCUGAAGAUGGUCUUGUGGCACAUUUCGUUACCUUGUUUGCAGAAGGCAAUUUGUCACAGAUAUUGGAUCCACAAGUUCUGAAUGAGAGUGGCAACACAAUUGAAGAAAUUGCUACAAUUGCAGUAGCGUGUGUAAAAUUGCGAGGAGAGGAACGUCCAACCAUGAGACAAGUGGAGCUGAGAUUGGAAGGCGUUCAAUCACCCGAUGAACAUGUCAUGGCGGUGGUUGGGGAAUUUGAAGCAAAUGGUAUUGACAGGAGUUCUCUGCUAACCAGAGAUGAAAGAAGCACAGAGGGAUUGACCAGGCAAUACAGUAUGGAAGAGGAGUGCAUAUUGUCUUCUAGAUAUCCGCGGUAG
rnacentral:rRNA from 1 species